CCUACGGGGGGCAGCAGUGAGGAAUAUUGGUCAAUGGGCGCGAGCCUGAACCAGCCAAGCCGCGUGAAGGAUGACUGCCCUACGGGUUGUAAACUUCUUUUAUAAAGGAAUAAAGUGAGGCACGUGUGCCUUUUUGAAUGUACUUUAUGAAUAAGGAUCGGCUAACUCCGUGCCAGCAGCCGCGGUAAUACGGAGGAUCCGAGCGUUAUCCGGAUUUAUUGGGUUUAAAGGGAGCGUAGAUGGGUUGUUAAGUCAGUUGUGAAAGUUUGCGGCUAAACCGUAAAAUUGCAAUUGAUACUGGCAGUCUUGAGUACAGUUGAGGUAGGCGGAAUUCGUGGUGUAGCGGUGAAAUGCUUAGAUAUCACGCAGAACACCGAUUGCGAAGGCAGCUUACUAAGCUGCCACUGACAUUGAUGCACGAAAGUGUGGGUAUCAAACAGGAUUAGAUACCCGGGUAGUC
rnacentral:rRNA from 1 species